CUCAUUCGCCAGUAUGUAAACAUACAGCAGGUCAAUUUGUCGAUUAACCGUUUGGUUUGUCUCAACACGUGCACAUUACAGAUGCAAUAUUUUAACAGGCAGCUAACUCAUUGGAUUACCAUAAAAGGAUUGGUUCAGAUGUUGAUAAGAUAAGCGGAGGUUUAUUAAGGGAGAAGUCUUUUCAGCUUUCAGUCAGAGACGGGGCGUUAGUAUUGAUCACUUCCAGACUGACACCACAAGACAGAGAGACAAAAUGAAGGUCAUUCUCCUGACUACCAUCAUCCUCGCUCUGGUCCCUGCCAGUAUGUUACUGCCCUGUGUGAAUAAAAGACCCCAACAGGCAUAUGAUGAUUUUGUCCACAGACAUAUUCCCUCGAAGACGUUUGACAGAACCUCCGAGAAAGAAUGGGCAAAGUACCUGCAGAGUCAGAAUCUCUGUGGCAGAGAACCAAAGCAGUCCUUCAUCAACGCCCCGCAGACUGAAGUCGACAAGAUCUGUAGUAAGGAUGGCCGACGCAAGGAGCUCAACUUGUGCAUGAGCAAAAACCCUAUGGAUGUUUAUGUCAUCAGUUCCCAAUUUGUAGGACAGGUUUGCAGCGUCCAAUCGAUAUUAAAGCAGUCUCAGUUUGUGACUGUAGCAUGUGAUAAUGUUGAAAACCUCUGCCGCCCUGUCCAUUUUGACAAAUACGCUGAUCAGUUACCAGGACGAAGAUCCUGCAUAUAACCUGAGAUGAACCCACAUUGUCGGAGGGUUAGUGCAGCCCUGUUUCCAGCUGUCAGGCUAAUUACUCCCUGACGUUUAAAGGUUCAAACGAGCCCAGCUGAUUGAAUGAAUCUGUGUUUUUUAGCCACGCCUUCUCUCAGAUACGUCUCAGAGCCUGCUUCAGAAACAUUUUGUGUGAUGAGCAUGAUGUUGUAAGAAAUUCUCCCAUAUUAAAAUUAAUAUGCUGUGACAAGGUUUCCAUUUAAAGGUGCAAUAUGUGAGAAUUAUAGUUCAAAAC